UGCAUGCAUGACUGUAAGUGACUUUGGAUAAAAGCAUCUGCUAAAUGGCAUAUA
rfam:Salmo salar isolate Sally breed double haploid chromosome ssa20, whole genome shotgun sequence.